GGAAAUGUGCCCGAGACUUAAGGACUACCUUGAUAGAGUAGAAACAGGAACAACACACCUCAUUUCCU
rnacentral:tRNA from 1 species